ACCGCCCGUCACAUCAUGAAAGUCGGGAACAUCCGAAGCCGGUGUCCUAACCGCAAGGAAGGAGCCGUCUAAGAUGGAAUCGAUGAUUGGGGUG
rnacentral:rRNA from 1 species